rnacentral:rRNA from 1 species
GAGUUUGAUCCUGGCUCAGAGUGAACGCUGGCGGCGUGCCUAAUACAUGCAAGUCGAACGGAGAUAUGAGGGCUUGCUCUUAUAUCUUAGUGGCGCACGGGUGAGUAAUGUAUAGCUAAUCUGCCCUACACUAGAGGACAACAGUUGGAAACGACUGCUAAUACUCUAUACUCCUUCUUUACAUAAGUUAAGUCGGGAAAGUUUUUCGGUGUAGGAUGAGGCUAUAUCGUAUCAGCUAGUUGGCGAGGUAAUGGCUCACCAAGGCUAUGACGCGUAACUGGUCUGAGAGGAUGAUCAGUCACACUGGAACUGAGACACGGUCCAGACUCCUACGGGAGGCAGCAGUAGGGAAUAUUGCUCAAUGGGGGAAACCCUGAAGCAGCAACGCCGCGUGGAGGAUGACACUUUUCGGAGCGUAAACUCCUUUUCUUGGGAAAGAAUUAUGACG